AUUAAACCAGGAGCUUGGAAACGAAUUUUGGAGUGAAACAAGUUGGGGGGUACUUAGCUUGUUCCAUGGUGGUACCUAGAGAGGCAAUUGCUAAGUCGUGGCACUCUCAUACCUUUACUAGAUGCGAACAAUUCCGGAGAAGAAGAAGAAGUGGAAUCGGAUGAGAAG